AUGUUAGCGGCGGGCGGGUGAGUAACACGUGGGUAACCUACCUAUAAGACUGGGAUAACUCCGGGAAACCGGGGCUAAUACCGGAUAAUAUUUUGAACCGCAUGGUUCGAUAGUGAAAGACGGUUUCGGCUGUCACUUAUAGAUGGACCCGCGCCGUAUUAGCUAGUUGGUAAGGUAACGGCUUACCAAGGCGACGAUACGUAGCCGACCUGAGAGGGUGAUCGGCCACACUGGAACUGAGACACGGUCCAGACUCCUACGGGAGGCAGCAGAC
rnacentral:rRNA from 1 species